UCCACUUCCUGGGCUGCCUCCCUGUUCCAAGAGAAGGGAUUCUUUUGGUGAUCAGAAGAGAGCCUCAAACACACAAGCAGAAAUAGUGAAGGCUAACUCAGGGACAGCGCUCCCGGAACCUUAACGGAUGGACACUUCCUUCCUCCUGGACACAUAAACGCUGAGGGAAACAAAGAUGCUCACAAAGGCAACUGCUAAGGGGAAGCAACUCCAUGCCUGCUAAGUCAAGAUGUGGCAGACUUACUUGGGCUUGAUCCCCAGC